rnacentral:rRNA from 1 species
AGUGAACGCUGGCGGUAGGCCUAACACAUGCAAGUCGAACGGCAGCACAGUAAGAGCUUGCUCUUACGGGUGGCGAGUGGCGGACGGGUGAGGAAUACAUCGGAAUCUACUUUUUCGUGGGGGAUAACGUAGGGAAACUUACGCUAAUACCGCAUACGACCUACGGGUGAAAGCAGGGGAUCUUCGGACCUUGCGCGAUUGAAUGAGCCGAUGUCGGAUUAGCUAGUUGGCGGGGUAAAGGCCCACCAAGGCGACGAUCCGUAGCUGGUCUGAGAGGAUGAGCGGCCACACUGGAAGUGAGACACGGUCCAGACUCCUACGGGAGGCAGCAGUGGGGAAUAUUGGACAAUGGGCGCAAGCCUGAUCCAGCCAUACCGCGUGGGUGAAGAAGGCCUUCGGGUUGUAAAGCCCUUUUGUUGGGAAAGAAAAGCAGCAGGUUAAUACCCCGCUGUUCUGACGGUACCCAAAGAAUAAGCACCGGCUAACUUCGUG